UAAAGCCACUUUUUCAACCGUUUCUAAUUUCUACAGCACCAAGCAUCAACCGAACGGAACCAUUGAGGUGACAAGAGCAGAGGAACAUGACAGGCAAAAACCUCAGUCACGGUUCUAAUGAAAAUAUUCGAUGCCCUCACUGCGCAGGACCUCUUUCUAAGAACAUGGAAACCAGCAAUUGGACAGUUUCCCCCCUUGUGCGGGACAGUUUUUCUAUGAUUGGUUCUGCCGUUGGUGGCACCACCAGUGCAUUUUAUGGAUUCAACCAUGUUAUGCCUGUUGUUAGGAGAUGCGUAAAAGGGCCCAUGUGGAUACAUUUCCUCAUUGGUACACCGCCUGUGAUAGUAUUCUCUUCAGCCUGUGCAGGACUGGCAGGUGGGGCUGUUCCUGCUCUUGCACAACUUGUUUCCUCGUCUUACCAUGCAGCACUAUCAUCACCUCCUCCUUCAGAAUAAGAUUCAGAAGUCAAGAACUUCCUGUACCCUUUAAAAUUUACACUCAUACGUAAUAUAAUGGUUUUGUUCCACUAUAGUCAGCAUUCGUGCUACAUGUGUGCUGAGAGUUUUGUUUUUCUCUUUUCCUCUGAAUGAUGCUUUUCAGAUUUAGUGUUCACUAUGUAAAUUCAGCUCUAAUGCACUUGUUCUACAGAGUUACAUUAACCGUGAUUUUUGUUUCAUCAUUUGUUUUA